rnacentral:tRNA from 1 species
CGAAACAUAGCAUAUGUUAAUGCUUUUUACUUACACUAAAAAUAAGAUUUAUAUCUGUUUCGA